ensembl:lncRNA
CUCUCUCUACUUCCCUCCCUCCCUCCCUCUCUCUCUACCUCCCUCCCUCCUUUCCCUUCUCUCUACCUCCCUCCCUCCUCCCUCCUUUCCCCUCUCUCUACCUCCCUCCCUCGCUGUCGCCCGCCCACGCUACCUAACCUUGAGUCUUACAGAAUAGCUGUUAGACGAGGCAGUAGAACAGCUGUGAUCCUCUCCGCCCACUCUUUUCAUUCUUCGCUCUUGCAUUUUUUUCCAGUCUCUUUUCAUCCCUUUUCCUCUCCACAUGCCUGCAGUGCUUUAUCUUCAUACAUGGGACUGAGAGCUUAUGCGGCUCAGAUGGGAGGUGUAACUGCUGUGUGCUACAUGAACGCGCGUGGCCGUGCACGGAGGUGGGUAGUGCCAAGCAAGGGAUGCUGAACGGAGGCCGUGAGGGCCUGUUCGAGCAGGGCAGGCGCUUCCAGCAGGAGGGUGAUUCCAGGGCGGCUCUGCAGUGCUUUCUCAGCUGCCUGCUGGGUCUGACCCAUGUGCACAGCUUUCACUUGCUGCCAAACUGCCUGCAUCAGAUCGCUGAACUCUUCAUCGAUGAGAAAAAUUGUAUCCUUUCCUGGAAAGGUCAAGAAAUGUUGCACAUGUAGCAUUCAUCUGGGUAUCUUCUCAUCCACUGUGAUAACAUGAAGGCCUAAAGCAUUUUAUCCUUCACACACAACUCUGCAAACACCUCAGUGCACUCCAACACUACAAAAUACUCUGUGUAUUUGACACACAGAAGACUUUGUGCUUUUGACCGUGCUGUGUUGAUGUGUUGUUGUUGUUGUUGUUUUCUCUUCUUUCUCUUUGCAAAAGUUUAUCAUUUGUUUUCACUGAUUUAAAAUCAACAGAAAACUGAGUCAGAUCUAUAGAAAAUGUCUGUAUAUAACCCUGGGUGUUAAAAGACCUACGAGAUUACAACAUUCAAAUGAGAAGAUUUCACUUUCCAUGUCAUUAACCUAUAAACAAACAAGUGAGCCAACCUUUGCCAACCCUCAUUCCCUGGAUCAUUUCUUUAUGUCCAGUACUGGUUCACUAGCUGUGUUAUUUCUUGGAAAUUUUUAAGGAACUCUGAUCAAUGUUUGGUAGAUAGUGUGUAAUAGUAGAGUUAGUUAAGAUCUUAAUAUAGUGGACAAAACUAACCUUGACCAUACAUUACUUUGACUGUGUUAGAAAGAUUUAUUUUUAUGUUCAUGUGUGUGGGUUUUAAUGAAAUUAACUGAAUAUUCAUAUGAUUUUCAUAUCAUCUCUGCCUUGGCCAUAUAACUAGAUCAGAGAUAAGGUCAUUUGAAGCCCAAUAUUUAGAGCACUUUUAAUCAGGCUUCACAUGGGGUAGCCAUUGAUUCAUUGUAAUAUCAGGAACUCGAAGGAAUAUCCAGGAUGUCAUAGUCCAGAAAAAAAAGAUCAUUUCAUAUUAGCACUUUGGCAGGAAUGACACAAAUGAUCUCUAAUGAUUCACAUAUUAGAUUAAACACAGGGUAAUAACAUUUCUAAUUUUAGGACAGCUGGUACCUGCCAACAUGCUAUAGCAUCAGUUCUGGGGGUUGUUUAGCUCUGAAUGUUUGCCUGUGAGUCGGAUGUCUGAAUUAUCAGUGACGUUACCCUGGCAUCAGAUGCUGUAAUUAUCCUGCUGCCAAAUUUUUCCAGUCUGGUACACUGUUAAACUACCUGGAAUAAUUCUUACUUGGCACUGUAAAUCAACCUCCUAUGAAUAGCACAGGUAUGAACUUUUACACAUUACAAUGCCAGUCUAUAUAUAUUUUGUGUGUUAUCAGAGUUAUAUUUGUAACAUGUCAUACCAAAACAGAAGCAUUUCCAGUAAUAGAAACCUCAUGUGAAGUGGGCUAUUCAUAUCUAUUUUAAGUAUAUUUUCCUUGUCAAGCACAUACUCUAUCAUUUUACAACUAGCUUAGUUUUUUUUUCUUUCUGCAUGCCUUUGUCUAUGUAAACAAAUAUACUUUUAAAUACAUGUCUAUUAAUAGUUCCAGCACAUGCUUUGUGUCUUUCUAUGGAGAGAAUGACUGGUACAGACAACAUUGCCCAAUCACAGCUCUCAGUGAGGUACAGAAAAGCUUCAGAUGGAUCUGCAACUCCAUUGCUUCACCUGGGACAGAAUUGUAUUGCAUUGAAACAAUACAGAUGAGAAAGCACUGCAGUUCAUUCAGGCAGAGAAGAUGUUCUAUGAGGUGGCAUUGAUCGAACUCACUGCUCUACAAGGAAGCACAGGCUCUCAGGAGGACAGUACACUGGGUUCACCAGGAUGGCUCUCCCCAGAGGAGUUAUCAGAACAGGUCUCGCAGGCCCAGGAUCUUGAGAGGCUGGCCCAACUUUGCAUCAUGAGUAAAAGACCUCAUCUUGCUUUAGAGUAUAGUGGCAAGGCUACAAAAAUACACCAGCGAGCAUUUGGUAAUGAUCACCCCAUCACAGCCAGGAGCCUGGAGCUUCUGGGCACAGUCUAUGCUGAGAUUGGCAAGACUGAAUACUCAGACUCAUUGGGUCAGUGUGUGUCAGCUCUGUCAAAAACAUCCUCUGCCCCUGAGUCAUACAACAAUACAUUCAACGGUUUUGCUCUAAGUCAUAAAGAUUCUGAGCUCUGGCACAGAAAAGAUCCACAUCCUCUGUCAGACACUCCAAAACCAAAGGUCAUCAACAGUAAGAUCCCCAUCUCCAUCCUAAAGAGGACCAACGAGCCGUCCUCAACUCAGCGUCGGAAAACGGAUAGGCGUGUUCGUUUCACCGAACCAGAGAUUACUGUUCAUGGAUAUGACUCAUCUCAGAGCCGUCCCCACCUGGCCCUGCUUACAUGUCUGUUCCUGCUGCUCUCAGCAUUGGGUUUAGCUCUGUACUGCACACACCGCCGACGGCCCCAUCGUGCCUGUGAAGAACUACAGGCAGCACUCGCUGUCUAUCUGCUGCGGUUCAAACAAAUCCUGUGGGGCUGCUGGAUCUGGCUGACCAUGCAGUGAGCAUAACAGAUGACCAGUGGCAUCACUGUUCUCUACACAUGCUUCCAUGAGCACAGAAAGCCAGACAAUGGUACAGAACAGACUAAAGAGAUAAGAAUCAUGGUUUCAUGGAAAAACUUUGGAAUAAUGGUUACUUAAAAUAAGACCCUUUAUUUGAUGGUCCCCACACCCUGGGACUAAAAAUGCCUUCUAAAUCCACUCAUGAAAAAACAGUUAACUUUUGCGCACCAACUACAGAUGGCAUUCUUAUGCCCUUUAUGACUUUAAUGCCAUAUCCUCAUUUUUACUGAGAGGCAGAUACAUUUCAAUAUCUCUGCUUGUAGCAGUUGAGUUUAGACCACGUUUAUGUUUCUAACGAUGUCUCUUACAACCUAUUUAAAGAAUAUUCAUAUAAAAUCAUUGAAUAAAAUCUUAAUGUAUUAAAGUUAGAUUUAGGUUGAAGAAAAUUGAAAAUUAGAUUUUGAUUAUUCUUUAAAUCAAUAUAUGAAGGUCACACUCAAUCACACAGCUGCACCUAUGCUUCUCCAUAAAUGUUCUCACCUAUUUUCUUAUUUACUACAGUUUGCAGCAGUCUAUAUAGAAUGCAAAACACUAUUAUUGAUUUCACUAUUAAUACAAUAUGCUUUGAAUAAUUACACAUGUAUAUAGAAAAUAUUAAUGACUAUCACCUAAGUAAUCCAUAUUAUUGUGCACAUUGUAUUUUAAUGUACAUAGAAUCAUGAACACUCAGUACUCAGUGUAACUCUGUUACAAAUGAUUGACUAUGGUGUAAAGUUAAGCACAAUGUUUCCAUCUUUUACAUUUACUAAAAACGUGAAACAAGACAGUUUCACAGUGUAGCCAGCCAUAUUUUCUGCCAAGUCAGAUUUACUUCAUAAUUCAAUGGGCAAGGACAAUUUUUAGUUUACAAAAAUCCAAAUUAGUAUAUUUGAACUAUUUCUAUGUUCCUGUCAGUUGUGUUUAUUUUUUUGCUGUUGCAUGUAUAUAAUACUUAUUUAUUUGACUAUUUUUGUAUUUUUUUCUAUCUACUAUUUUCUAUAGUUAAUAUCAUUUUGGUUAUGUUUUUUUUUUUUUUUUUUAAAUUGAUCUCAGCAUUAGUGAUUUUAAUUAUAUCAUGAGAGUAUUUUCAAACCUUUAAAGCUAAUGGUAUAUUUCCACUUAAACCUUACAGAUAUAAAUGGGCAUUCACUACUGAUUAUGAUCAAAUGUUCAAGCAAUAAAAUGUUCUUUCUGUAAUUGAUCACAAUGACAUUAAUUAUAUGCCAAUAAUAAUGGAUGAAGCACUUUUACAAAAAUGCUAGUAAAAAUAUCCUCAUCAUAAGGGAUUAUACCAAAUACAUACCCAAUAUUCUCACUUUAUUUGAUCUAUGUAUCAUAUUUAAUCCCUUUUAAUGAAUGUUUUUCAUUUAAGAAUGAAAAAAAAAAAUUUACCUAAAAAUCUAUAACCAUUUGUUUCCAACACACUAACUGGGCCUCACCAUCAAUCAUUAAUUAGCAUUCCAUUAGCAUUUGGUCAUAAGAGUCCCUACUGCAGAUUAAUGCCGGACAUUAGAUGUGUUUCCACUCUUAUUCUUGUAGCUAACUGUACUUUAAUCAUGCUCUUUGGUAGGCGGAGUUCUGGAGCUGUACACACUAUACUUUGAGUACCAUUACAUCAUGAGCAGUGACAUGUAGGACAGAUUGCAUAAAGUUCAACACAUUCAUUACCUACUAUCAUAUGCAGAAAAAUAAAACCACUGUGAGAUAUUUGGGAGGAAAUGAAUGGCGGUCUAGGUCACAUAAAAUGUCUGAAAAUCUUUUUGCGGAAUAAUUACACUGAAUGUAUCUUUGUACAUAAUUAUGCAUAAAAAGCUAAACAGUAUACAGCGCAUGAUUGCCCGUUGUAUAGCACAGCUUAAUACUGUACAUGUGUACUGUUGUUUGAAGAAAGUUUUAACCAACUGGUUUGUACUUGAAUUUCAAAUCUUCAAGGCAAUAUUAGGCACUGUUCACUUACAAGGGAAUUGAAUAUAGAUCCUUUGAUACUUUAUUUGCUUUAUUUAUAAAGCAGUGAAGUCUCAUCAGACAGAGCACAUGCUCUCUUUAUGAUCUGGGUUUGAUUUGGUUGGGUGUGUUUCCUCUCCCUUUUUUCAUUAGUGACACUGUAUGAGUCUACUUUUAAUAGAAGUGCCUUUUUAAGGUUCUCUCCUUUCUCUCAGUUUAAAUCACACUGUAACAGGUCGUCAAUAAAAGCCAUCAAAUAAACUAUAUUGCAAACCAGAGAGAUGAUGUAUGCUACGACUUUUCAUUGGCUGAAUGUUUUAUUCACUCACUCACUUUCAAUAACUACUUUUUAUGAUCCAAAGCCUGUGAGGCAAGAAUACACCCUGGAUGGUAUGCCAUUUCAUUGCAGGGCACCAUACACACUUAUUCACUCACACCUACAGACAAUUUAUCUUAGCCAAGCCAUCUACUGGCAUGUUUUGGGCAGUGGGAGGAACCUAGAGGACAUCCAUGCAGACACAAGUUCAGGAUCGAACCAGGGAUCCUGGAGUUGUGAGGCAGCAACGCUACCCAUACUGCAUGUUUCAGGUAGAUAAAAAAAUGUUAGUUGUUAACACUAUAAUAGCAUUUA